rnacentral:rRNA from 1 species
UACGGGGGGGAGCAAGCGUUUGUUCGGAUUUACUGGGCGUAAAGGGCGCGUAGGCGGCGUGACAAGUCACUUGUGAAAUCUCCGGGCUUAACUCGGAACGGUCAAGUGAUACUGUCGUGCUAGAGUACAGAAGGGGCAACUGGAAUUCUCGGUGUAGCGGUGAAAUGCGUAGAUAUCAGGAGGAACACCUGUGGUGUAGACAGCUUACUGGACCAUAACUGACGCUGAGGCACGAAAGCGUGGGUAGCAAACAGG